rnacentral:rRNA from 1 species
UAAUACGGAGGGUGCAAGCGUUAUCCGGAUUCACUGGGUUUAAAGGGUGCGUAGGCGGGCAGGUAAGUCAGUGGUGAAAUCCUGGAGCUCAACUCCAGAACUGCCAUUGAUACUAUCUGUCUUGAAUAUUGUGGAGGUAAGCGGAAUAUGUCAUGUAGCGGUGAAAUGCUUAGAUAUGACAUAGAACACCUAUUGCGAAGGCAGCUUACUACGCAUAUAUUGACGCUGAGGCACGAAAGCGUGGGGAUCAAACAGGAUUAGAUACCCUGGUAGUCCACGCCCUAAACGAUGGAUACUCGACAUACGCGAUACACUGUGUGUGUCUGAGCGAAAGCAUUAAGUAUCCCACCUGGGAAGUACGACCGCAAGGUUG